rnacentral:misc_RNA from 1 species
UUCCAUGCCUACAUUGGUCCCGUGAAAGGCCUCGCUCGUUGCCUCCGUGCGCUCGUGAGGAGAUAUCUCCGAAUGGGUCGCGGUUCGAUGCGUGCGGUCAUGUCACGAGGAGCCUGAUGGCAUGUGAGUGGUGUUUCGGUUGCGUGGGUUGAUAGGCUCCUUGCUCGUGCGACGAACUAUCGCCCCCUUCCGCAUUUCAUUGUUAGCCCGAGUUCCAUCGGGAGACUCGGGCAUUGUGAAGGCCGGGUUCCUGUGCUGCGUUCCUACUGUGAUGGAAUUGUCCCUUCAAGGUUGCCUUUCCCCCGCCUUGCUUUGCAAUUGCAACGCGGGCGGGACUCGGUAGCGGUCCUUGUGGUCCUCGGUCGCCCCGAACAUGCGAGCAUGGGAGGCGGUGUGCUGUGGCCCAUGAUGUCCGCCGGCGCUCUCGGAUGCGGAACGUUAAGCCGAGCGAGUUGGAUCCCCAACGGAAGCUCGAACUAAGCGGUAUUCGCUGUUUCGGACGACAGCGGCGACCGCCUUGCCCUCACGUUGCCCCGCACCGUCGGGGCCUCGGCGAGGCGCAUGCGGUGCCGCAGUCGCACGAGGAUG